UACGUAGGGGGCUAGCGUUGUCCGGAAUCAUUGGGCGUAAAGCGCGCGUAGGCGGCCCGGUAAGUCCGCUGUAAAAGUCAAAGGCUCAACCUUUGAAUGUCAGUGGAUACUGCCGGGCUAGAGUCCGGAAGAGGCGAGUGGAAUUCCUGGUGUAGCGGUGGAAUGCGCAGAUAUCGGGAGGAACACCAGUGGCGAAGGCGGUUGCCUGGGGCUUUGCUGACGCUGAUGCGCGAAAGCGUGGGGAGCGAUCCGG
rnacentral:rRNA from 1 species